rnacentral:rRNA from 1 species
UACGUAGGUGGCAAGCGUUGUCCGGAAUUAUUGGGCGUAAAGCGCGCGCGGGCGGUCCUUUAAGUCUGUUGUGAAAGCCCACGGCUCAACCGUGGAGGGUCAUUGGAAACUGGGGGACUUGAGUACAGAAGAGAAGAGUGGAAUUCCACGUGUAGCGGUGAAAUGCGUAGAGAUGUGGAGGAACACCAGUGGCGAAGGCGACUCUUUGGUCUGUAACUGACGCUGAGGCGCGAAAGCGUGGGGAGCAAACAGG